UACGUAGGGGGCUAGCGUUGUCCGGAUUUAUUGGGCGUAAAGAGCGUGUAGGCGGCCAGGUAGGUCUGGUGUGAAAACUCGAGGCUUAACCUCGAGAUGUCAUCGGAAACCAUCUGGCUAGAGUCCGGAAGAGGAGAGUGGAAUUCCUGGUGUAGCGGUGAAAUGCGCAGAUAUCAGGAAGAACACCAAUGGCGAAAGCAGCUCUCUGGGACGGUACUGACGCUGAGACGCGAAAGCAUGGGGAGCGAACAGG
rnacentral:rRNA from 1 species